GUCCCUGUCGAUUAGUGGUUAAAUCGUCACGUUGUGGUCAGCGCAAUUACCGUGACGCCGCAGGUUCGAUUCCUGCCAGGGACA